GAGGAAAGUCCCCGUGCCUUCGGGUAGAGAGUGCCAGCAGGAGACUGCGAGAUGUCGUAUUGUUCAUUGACAGCGACACUUUCAUGCCGAGGUGCAGUGGCGAGGCGUCAUCUUUCACAGCAGCACAGCCAUGUCGUGAGGUUCGAGCGAGGACGCCAAAGUUCGAGCGAGGACGCCAAGCUGAACGAGGCUCAUUCUC
rnacentral:RNase_MRP_RNA from 15 species